UGUCCCCGGCCAUUUAUGGAUUAAUUCCUUCAACUGCACUUCACCAAAAAUUGCUUUUCUCUCAUCUUCCGUCAACCAUACUCUUCGCAGUCCCCGGAAGCUUUGAACUUUCCUGUUCUCUGAUUUUCACUCUGUCUCUCUGUCGAUCCUGCAACUGAAAUGGGAAAUUUGUGGAGUAGCAGAAGAAGAAACAACUAUUUUCCCCCACCCCCUCCCCCUCAUCUACCACCUCCUUAUUAUUAUUCUGCAGAAUCCCAUCUUCCUGCCCCUCCUCCCCUGCCACCUCAACCGCAAGGCUAUUAUCUGACCAAUUCUUACGUCAAUACUCCUCCUCUGCCUCCGCCGCCACCUCCGCCGUCUCAUCCUCACACCCAUUCAUUCAGUUACUCAAAUGGCCAUAACUAUUGCCCCAACUAUGGCAAUUCUGUGACGGGUCGUUUUCAAUACCAACCUUAUUAUGUAAAUCAGGGUACUGGUGGGUGGCCUCCGAUUCGUCCUCCUCUUGCUCCCGCCAAUCCCCCACCUCCCUAUGUCGAUCACCAAACCGCUAAGAAGGUCAAAAAUGAUGUCAAUGUGCAUAAAGAUACCUUGCGGCUUGAGUUGGAUGAGCACAACCCUGACCAGCACCUGGUUUCUUUUGUUUUCGAUGCCUUAUAUGAUGGAAGCAUUUCUAUAAUCUACUUUGCCAAGGAAGUAGAAACAUGCAAGUUCAGUCCAACGAUUCCUGAAAUUGAGCCGGUCAGAAUCCCUUUUCAGAAAGGAGCUGGACAAAAGUUUUGUCAGCCUUCAGGAACUGGCAUUGACUUAGGUUUCUUUGAGUUGGAUGUUCUCUCAAAACCCUCACAAGAGGAUGUCUUUCCCCUUGUGGUAUGUGCUGAAACAUAUUCGAGAACUCCUCCAGCAGAUGAAAACUUAGGAGAUUUUAUGGCUGAUAUAUCACCUAACAAGCAGAUUACUCAAGCUGUUAUAGAGAAAAGCAAUGGUAGUGAUUGUUUCCAGGUAAAAGUAAUUAGGCAGAUUUUGUGGAUUGAUGGUGCCCGUUAUGAAUUAAGAGAGAUCUAUGGAAUUGGAAGCUCAUCUGCAGCAGAUUUCAAUGACAAUGAUCCUGAGAAGGAGGAGUGUGUGAUAUGCAUGACUGAACCAAAGGACACUGCUGUCUUACCUUGUCGUCAUAUGUGUAUGUGCAGUGAGUGUGCCAAAGCUUUGAGGCUUCAAUCGAAUAAAUGCCCUAUAUGCCGUCAAUCCAUUGAGGAACUUAUAGAGAUCAAGAUAAAUAAUGGUAACUAAUGAAAUUGUUCCUCCUGAUGCUAAGUCAAAUCGCAUGAUAUUGCCAUCAAACUCCUGCAGUCAGGGAGUGGAAAAAGAGAGGAAAAAUGUAAGAGGAAUGAGUUCUGCACUGGUAUUAGGUCAAUGAUGCAGGCCCUAGAUGUAUUUUUCAGCUCUAAAAGGUGAUUGAGGAAGUUGUGAUGGGAAGAAACAUCGUUUAGAAAAGAUGCUGAAUUAUUGAAGUAAUCUUUAUGCGGAAGAAAAUUUAAUAAUGCAAGGACUGAAGCCAAUGAAUGAAAAUGGAGACAGGUAUGUUUUUACUCUGGCUAAUGGAAUCGGAUACCCUCCCCAUCACUGGACCUAUUGAUGGUACUCGGCGUAUUAAGCUUACAGAUACAGUUGGCAUGGUACAAGCUCAUUGGCGGGUGGAGCCAAAGAUGGGGCACAUGACAUGGCAUAUGGGUCAUCGAGUUUGUCCCUAGAAAAAGAACGAAAAAGGUUUAAACCCAAAAAACUGGGUAAGGCAGCCAUACGAUCCCCCACCUCAUAGAACUUUGCAAAUCUCAAGACACCGACCGACUCAUUUCUCUUUUGGUAUCUUUCUACACACGAAGGUAAAAAGAAAAUGGCAAAGACAGGGUUUCCUCGUGAUUCAAUAGGGGCGCUUUCUGAUAUUCAUCUCUUCUGCGCAAAAUCUGCUGACUUUGCUUCUUCGCCAUAUGGCUGUUCGAAAAGCAGGAAAGAAAUAAUGAAGAGUAUUCAUUGAGUAGAUAAAUAUUAAAAAAAAAAUAAACUUUUCAUUGAAGUGGAGUGUGGUCGUAAUCAAAAUUCAAUUAUUAAUUUCCCGUAACAAGCUAAAAUCCAGGUCUUUUAAAAAAGAGAUGGAGCAGAGGGCAUGUGUGGAUGCCGUUUCAGCUGUACUCUUGUGGUUGAGGCCUCACUGAAUAGUUCUUUCCUUUCCUCCUCAAUGUACCAAAACACCAUGUGAGCCCCCCUCAA